GCUCAGAAGCCGAGGCGCCGGGUCACCCAUGACAAAUGUCCCCGUGUCUCGCCAACAGGCCCCGCCUGGCCUUGCCACUCUAUCUGCCCAACAGGCCCCCGGAGAGCGCUUGCCGGUGUCAGUUUCAGAUGAUCAAUGACAAAAACCCACAACAUUUGUCCAACUCCAGGAGAUGCAUCUUUCUGCUGAGAAAACAGACUUUAUCAAAAAAUGAAGACAAAACCAGUUUGAAUAGGAAAUGAUAGCAGCGUCACUUCAACUGUGCAAGAGCUUUCUUUUUGAUUUUGAGCUGGUGCCUUGCCCUUGGGAUGGUAACCUGAGAUGAACACUGAAGGAAAACAGAGUGUGUGAAAGAUGGCCCCGCACCCCCCACCUUCUCUCCGGGCCACUCAGUGCGGAUAUAGAAUAUGACUUGCUUUUGUUCCAGUCAGAUUCUCAGAGCCUCAGGUAUGAAGAGUUUUCAGUUCGUGUCCCUUCCCCCAACCGACUGUGCAAACAAGCGUGGACAGGAGCUGGUGUUUUCUGACACGUGUUCCUCUUCACCGGGCCCUGGGCGCCCCUCUCCUUCCUCUCUUCCAUCAAGGGUCCACUCCUCUCCUUUUCAGCGUGUCGAAUUCAGGAAGGCAAACUGCUUCCACGCUGCGUGUG